GGCGGAUUGCCAGAGCGGUCGAAUGGGGCCGGUUGUAACCCGGCUGCGUCCUUGCCUCGCAGGUUCAAAUCCUGCACCCGCCA
rnacentral:tRNA from 1 species